UCGAGAGGAAAUUGUUGUGGUAUUGCUUAAGAAAGAUAACGUCAAAUUACAAAGAGCACGUAGGUAGCUAUUUAUAGAUUACACGUAAAGGAUAAAAGAGUAAAUUCAUCGCUGGAGCAUGCGCUUUGCGUGGUCAAGGGCAUAAUAGUAAAAUUGCCCUCACGUGGGAGAUUUCCCCGCAUUUCUGGUGAUUCCUCUGGCGAAGACCGUUCCUCUGUCGAGAGCG
rnacentral:lncRNA from 1 species